UGGAAAGUUACAAGAAGGGAAAAGUGCGUGGCUGGAAAAGAGGGCCUGACAAGCUGCUGACCUAGAAGCAUCUGAUCUCCACACUAGAGCACAGGGAAGGGGUGUCCCCUUCACAGGCUAUCACCUAGGGUCACCAGAUCCUCUGGAAAGGAAGUAAUCAAUGGAGUCUGGUAGUGGGAAAGGCAGAAAUUCUGGUACCCAUUCCACUGAAUCAAACAUAUGCCUGCCCCUCCCCCUCGAG